rnacentral:rRNA from 1 species
GAUGAACGCUAGCUACAGGCUUAACACAUGCAAGUCGAGGGGAAACGAUAUUGGAAGCUUGCUUCCGAUAGGCGUCGACCGGCGCACGGGUGAGUAACGCGUAUCCAACCUGCCCACCACUUGGGGAUAACCUUGCGAAAGUAAGACUAAUACCCAAUGAUAUCCAUAGAAGACAUCUGAAAUGGAUUAAAGAUUUAUCGGUGAUGGAUGGGGAUGCGUCUGAUUAGCUUGUUGGCGGGGUAACGGCCCACCAAGGCGACGAUCAGUAGGGGUUCUGAGAGGAAGGUCCCCCACAUUGGAACUGAGACACGGUCCAAACUCCUACGGGAGGCAGCAGUGAGGAAUAUUGGUCAAUGGGCGAGAGCCUGAACCAGCCAAGUAGCGUGCAGGAUGACGGCCCUAUGGGUUGUAAACUGCUUUUAUAGGGAAUAAAGUGGGAGUCGUGACUCCUUUUGCAUGUACCUUAUGAAUAAGGACCGGCUAAUUCCGUGCCAGCAGCCGCCGUAAAAC